rnacentral:sRNA from 1 species
AUCAAAUAAAAACUCCUAAUUUUAUUUGAUAGAAAUCCUAAACUUUUCUUUUAGUAAUCUUAGAUUACAAUCUUUUUCAUAAUAAUCUCCCUAUAAAAGUCACCAAAUCUGGUGGCUUUUUU